rnacentral:misc_RNA from 1 species
GGAGAGGAGCCCGUGUACUGCUGUGACGACGGGACGGUUAGCGACCCGCCUCCCGAAGCCGAACACAGUGGAGAAUGCCCCGACGUUCGGCGUCACUGCCUUCGCUUCAAAAGACCACCAAAUGUGUGCCCCCACGACGGUUUCUGCCCGUCCAACCAGAAGUGCUGCUGGGACACCUGCUUGGACCAUCAUGCUUGUAAACUCCCUGUUUAAGAGAGGAUUCCAUUCCGCAAGGAGUGACUGAGUCUCCGAUAAUUUGUUGUUAAUUGUUCUGAAUUCUGUCUUUGUUUUAUGUCUUGUUUCAAACACGUGAGAGUUAUCAUCUAUGUACUAUUUACAGGCAAUAAAUAACAUUCUUAUGAAAACUCUU